rnacentral:rRNA from 1 species
AUGCUGCCUGACGAGUUCCUGCCCGACCUCCUCGUUGACCUCUGUCACAAGUCCAGCGAGCAGCGUCUUCGGGUUUUUUUUUUCCGCCAAGUCCAUCGAAGGCCCUCAAGACCGUACCCCUUCAUGCCGGCAAGACCGGCAAGUCGGACCCCGAAAGAUCAACGACUUGUGGACCAUGUGCAUCUACCGUCGCCGAAGACCCGGGUUGCAAAAAUGCCAAGUUCCUCUCCGCCGUGA